GAUGAACGCUGGCGGCGUGCCUAAUACAUGCAAGUCGAGCGAACGGACGAGAAGCUUGCUUUUCUGAUGUUAGGGGGGGCGGGGUGAGAAAACCUGGGAUAACCUACCUUAAGAACGGGGAAACUUUGGGGAACCGGGGGUUAAUCCCGAAAAAAUUUUUGAACGGCAGGGUUCAAAGUGAAAGGAGGUCUUUGCUGUACCUAUUAGAGGAUCCGCGCUGCAUUAGCUAGUUGGUAAGGUAACGGCUUACCAAGGCAACGAUGCAUAGCCGACCUGAGAGGGUGAUCGGCCACACUGGAACUGAGACACGGUCCAGACUCCUACGGGAGGCAGCAGUAGGGAAUCUUCCGCAAUGGGCGAAAGCCUGACGGAGCAACGCCGCGUGAGUGAUGAAGGUCUUCGGAUCGUAAAACUCUGUUAUUAGGGAAGAACAUAUGUGUAAGUAACUGUGCACAUCUUGACGGUACCUAAUCAGAAAGCCACGGCUAACUACGUG
rnacentral:rRNA from 1 species